UACGUAGGGUGCGAGCGUUGUCCGGAAUUAUUGGGCGUAAAGAGCUUGUAGGCGGUUUGUCGCGUCUGCUGUGAAAUCUCAAGGCUCAACCUUGAGCUUGCAGUGGGUACGGGCAGACUAGAGUGUGGUAGGGGAGACUGGAAUUCCUGGUGUAGCGGUGAAAUGCGCAGAUAUCAGGAGGAACACCCGAUGGCGAAGGCAGGUCUCGUGGGCCGUAACUGACGCUGAGGAGCGAAAGCGUGGGGAGCGAACAGG
rnacentral:rRNA from 1 species